GUUGAUAAUCUAAUCGGGAGCACAGGGCCUCCCCGGGUGGGUGCCCCAUUCCGAUCCGCUGCCCCUGAGAGGUGGGCCUUGGGAGAGGCAGGGCUUGGACGCCCUUCCUCGGGGCAGCGGGGUGCAGGGAGAGUUCUUCUGGCUGUGAGUCCCGGAGUCCCCGACCCUGGCACCCCUUCAGCAAGGUUCUCAGGCACAUCUGCCGGGGGCGCUGAGGGGACCUGAGAUGGACGGGCCGGGAGGGAGGCUGAGGAGAACACAGCAGGUCCCUCCGACCGCAGUCGGCCUCUCCAGCCUGCCAUGCCUCUGGCCAUGAGGCGACCCGCUGGAGUGAUGGAUUCCCGUCACUACCACCCACAGGGCGAGGGGGUGCAUUGGUCUGCUUGGGCCGCUGUAACAAAAUGCCACAGCCUGGAUGAGUGACUGACAUUGCUUCCCCACCGUUCUGGAGGCUGGAGGCCCGAGAUCGAGGUCCCUGACACUAUUUCAGUGAUGCCAGAGCCCAGGAGGAGUCGACCAAGCCCCAGCGUGGCCAUAAGCACCUUCGCAGGACCACGGAGUCGCUGCAGGUGUUCAGCCCUGUUGAGAGUGGGAGUCGGUGUCGAUGGUCACAGCUCAGUAACUCAUCGUCACCAGCGAGUACCACAGAGCAGACACAACUGCACUUCUCUGUAGAGCCUCCAGUCGAUACUGAGAGCCACUGGGGCGUCUGACACCCAAGGGUGCAGACAUUCACUCCAAGUCCAGAGACCGCGCCCUUUCUAAGGCCCUGUCUCACAGUCGCCCCGUGCUCAUUGUGCCGGAUGUUUCCACAGCCACAGAGACGGUGCGUGAAGGUGAGGUGCAGCCUAGUGCAUAUGACUGACAGAAACGUGAAGCCACAGUGGACGCCUGGAUGAGACACAGAUCACCUUCCAAAUCUGAGUGUGGCCUUGGGACCAACCAGGCAGCCAGGGAGAAGGCAGAGACCAGAGGGAACCCAGGUGCCCUCAAUCCCAGCCUCCUCUAUCCCAGCCUCCCAAUCCCAGCCUCCCCAAUCCCAGCCUCCUAAUCCCAGCCUCCUCCAUCCCAGGACCCCCACUCCCAGCCUCCCGAUCCCAGCUUCUCUGAUCCCAGCCUCCCCUAAAACCCAGACUCUAUGAAUCCCAGCCUCUGAGGUGGGAACUGUUAGUAACCCCACUCCAUGGACAAGAAAGCUGGGGCCUGGCGAGGCUAACAGACUAUCCUGAUGGUGUGAGGGAGGGAUCGGCCUCUGAGGGCUGCUUCCACCCAUCUCACCAGUGGCUGCAGGCUCCAGGCGCCACUUUCCUUGAGUCUAUGUUCUUUCCAAGCAUCCUGCAGCUCCAGAAGCUCUGGAGCCGCCAGCACUGAGAGAAGCGAUGGAGCUGCAUGCAGGGUGAGUGUAGGACCGGGCGGAGCUGCUCUGUGGCUGGCGGGCACAUUCUUUGUCAACAUGAGCAUCUCUCACUGUUCCUAGACCCCCUGGCUCCCCAGCUUCCUUGGAGCCAGGCGUGGCCACAGGAAAAUGUUUAGGUCAAUGACAGGAAACUUUGUUGACAGCGGUGUCUGGAUGGACCAGCAGAGGGCACUCUCACCCACGGGGAAAAUCGUGCGCCCGGCCUCGUCCACCGCCAGAAGACGCCGCUACACAAUGGAGUCUCGCUCUGUCGACCAGGCUGGAGUGCAAUGGUGCGAUCUCGGCUCACUGCAAUCUCUGCCUCCCGGUGAGAGGUGAAGCCAGCUGGACUUCCUGGGUCUAGUGGGGACUUGGAGAACUUUUCUGUCUAGCUAAAGAUUUGUAAAUGCACCAAUCAGUGCUGUGUCUAGCUAAAGUUUGUAAACGUACCAAUCAGCACUCUGUAAAAAUGGGCCAAUCAGCACUCUGUAAAAUGGACCAAUCAGCACUCUGUAAAAUGGACCAGUCAGCAGGAUGUGGGCGGGGUCAAAUAAAGGAAUAAAAAGCUGGUAGCCGAGCCGGCAGUGGCAAACCGUUUGGGUCCUUCUCGGUACCCUGGUGGCUUUGUUGUUUUGCUCUUUGCAAUAGAUCUUGUUGCCGCUUGCUCUUUGGGGCCUCACUGCCUUUAUGAGCUAUAACACUCCCCGCAGAGGUCUGCAGCUUCAUUCUUGAAGCCAGCGAGACCACGAACCCACUGGGAGGAACCAACAACUCCAAACGCGCCACCUGUAAGAGCUGUAACACUCCCUGUGAAGGUCUGUGGCUUCACUCCUGAAGUCAGCGAGACCAGGAACCCACCGGAAGGAACUCCGGACACAAAGAACUGCAACACUCACCCGAGGGUCUGUGGCUUCAUUCUUGAAGUCAGUGAGAUUAAGAACCCACCGGAAGGAACCAGUUCCGGACGUGCCGAGUUCAAGCAAUUGUCCUGCCUCAGUCUCCGGAGUAACUGGGAUUACAGGUGCACGCUGCCAUGCCCAGCUAAUUUGUAUUUUAGUAGAGUCGAGGUUUCACCGCGUUGCCCAGGCUGGUCUCGAAUUCCUGAGCUUGGGCAACCCACUCACCUCGGCCUCCCAAAGUGCUAGGAUUACAGGCGUGAGCCACCAGGCCGGGCCCGUAUGGUGGUUUCUACUCCGGACUGACUCUCCCGGGUCUUGGUCACUCUGCAGAAUCCUGGACCGGAAGGGGGCCUCGGCCAGGGGAGGGCUUGCGAGGAGCCCCGGACCUACUGGCCAUUAUAGGGUGACGGGAAGUUCCUUGCAUCCCGGGAUCCCAUGGCACUUGGUCAGGGAAGCCUCCCCAGAGAGGCCCAACUCCCCAGAUCCAGGUGGGGAAUCAGGGUACCAGCCAGGCAGUGUUCCCACCCCAGCCAUGCUGCUGGCUUCCGUCCCUGUGGUGGGGUCACCCAGGUGGCUCAUGCCUCCACGCACAGCCUUGUGGACACCCCCACACCGCCCAUAGUCAAGUCAGAGCUCACGAGCCCACAGGGCAGAUACCCGCCACGAGGGGACGGUGGGCCAGGAGGGUCCUCUGUGGGCAGCGCCGUGUUCCUGAUCUCCCCAGGCUGCUGGGGGAUGGGGUGGGGCAGAGGAGGCCACCUUCCCAUUUCCCACUUUGCUGGGUCUCCCUCUUUGCUGGACAGUGCUGGGGCAGGUUACACACCCAUGACAGUGUGAGGACUGAGGGUGCGCGUCCUGGAGCCUUCAGGGCUUGGGUGGAGGGGGCAGCUUGUCCCCCUGAGGCCUGGGCCAGAGAUCCCAUUCUGAAUGCGGAGAGCCAAGAUUCUACCUGGAUCCUGGCCUUGUGGGUCACUGUGACGGCCCAGAGCUGACUUUAUGUGACAGUUUGUCCUGAGAUUUAAAACUGAAUAUUUAGACUCGUGGGAUCUGGGCAUCCACUUCAACCAAGGAUGGGGACAGGCAGCAGGGUGGAGGGUGGACGAUGCAGGAAGAUGCUGUAGGACCAAGAACAAGGGGGCUGUGAGGCAAAGGAGCAGCACGAGGAGCCGUGUGUGCCCACUGCCACUUGCAGCCUCAUUUCUCAACCCGACUGUGAUGACUGCCGCUUGCUGGAAAGAUGCUCUGAAGACACAAUGAACUGACAAUGCGUCACCCCGACUCCUGCCUGAGCCACUCCAUUCCUUAAAGACGGUACGUGACUCACGUCCUUGCUGUGUCCUGCACGAGAUAAGGUCUGGCAGGGUUGGUAAUUAUGCCUCUGGGAUCUGUAACCAGACAUUCUCUGUAACCAUUCUGUAUAAUCUGGACGUUCUCUGUAAUCCAGAUGUUCUGUGUAAACUGAAGUUCUCUGUAAUUGGACUUUCUCUAUAACCAGUUGUCCUCUGUAACCUUCUCUAUAAUCCAGAUGUUCUUUGCAACCAGAUAUUCUCUCUAACCAGACAUUCUGUAUAAUCCAGACAUUCUCUGUAACCAGAUGUUUUCUAUAAUCCAGAUUUUUUUUUUUUUUUGAGACAGUUGCACUCUUUUUGCCCAGGCUGGAGUGCAAUGGUGAGAUCUUGGCUCCCUGCAACCUCCACCUCCCAGGUUCAAGCGAUUCUCCUGCUUCAACCUCCCUAGUAGCUGAGAUUACAGGCAUGCACCACCAUGCUUAGCUAAUUUUGUAUUUUUAGUAGAGACGGGGUUUCUUCAUGUUGGUCAGACUGCUCUCAAACUCCUGACCUCAGGUGAUCCGCCCACCUCGGCCUCCCAAAGUGCUGGGAUGACAGACGUGAGCCACCGCACCCGGCCCUGGAUGUUCUUUUUAAUCCAGAUAUUCUCUGUAAUCCAGACGUUCUCUACAACCAGACAUUCUCUGUAAUCGGACAUUCAGUACAAUCCAGGCUUUCUCCGUAACCAGACGUUCUCUAUAAUCCAGACGUUCUCUGUAACCCACACGCAGCUCCGUGUGACUCUGCUCUUCCGUGACUUCUGCGUCUAUAAUCCAGACGUUCUCUGUAACCCACGUGCAGCUCCGUGUGACCCUGCUCUUCCGUGACUUCUGCGUCUAUAAUCCAGACGUUC
rnacentral:lncRNA from 1 species